CGCGGCCGCGGGGACCGGGUCGGGCAGCGCAGGUCCUCGGUCCCCCGCGCGGCCUACUUAAUCGCGACCGUUGUUGGGAGGGCCUACUCUCCGGCCGGUGUGUGAGAGCGGUGACACUGCCCGUCACUGAGCGGGAGCCGAGCCCACAGUGGGAGAAUUCAAGGGAUGUGACACGACGAUGGAACCCGACAGGGCCGAGCGGCGCCUCUCCGGACUCAGCAUGCUACAACGUAAGGGUCAUUCAUCUAAACAAGAUAACUUAGCAGUCACUGCAGUUGCUUUACAAGAUCACAUUUUACAUGACCUUCAGCUUCGGAAUCUUUCAAUAGCAGAUCCUUCCAAGACAAAGGCACAACAGAGAGACACCAGCUCCAAGUCUCUAAAAAGAAAUACAAAAGCAGUGAUAGAUACUGGCCUUAAAACAACGGUACGAGGCCCUAAAGUGGAAGAUCCAGAAAGAGAAUAUGUUCUUGAUCCAAAACCACCACCCUUAACUUUAGCUCAGAAGUUGGGCCUGUUUCAACCUCCCCCAUUGCCACUGUCAUCAGAGGAAUGGGAAAAAGUGAAACAAAGAUCCAUCAUGCAAGGGGACUCAACGCAGCCAUGCCCAAUAUGCAAAGAAGAAUUUGAACUUCGCCCCCAGGUGCUGCUUUCAUGUUCCCAUGUGUUUCACAGAGCAUGCCUCCAGGCUUUUGAAAAAUUCGCAAAUAAAAAAACCUGCCCCCUCUGUAGAAAGAACCAGUACCAAACCAGAGUGAUUCACGACGGAGCGCGGCUGUUCAAAGUAAAGUGUGCGACAAGGAUCCAGGCCUCCUGGAGGGGACACGUGGUGAGGAAGUGGUACCGAGACCUGAGGAGAACGGUGCCGCCCACGGAAGCCAGGUUGAGGAGAAAAUUCUUUGAAGGAAAGUUCACAGAAAUCAGCCGCCGCAUACUGUGCUCCUACAACACAAACAUAGAAGAGCUGUUUUCGGAAAUCGACCACUGCCUGGCCAUAAACCGGAGUGUUCUUCAGCAGCUGGAGGACAGGUGUGGCCACGAGCUCACAGACGGAGACUGGGAGAAGAUCCAGAUCCAGGUGGAUCCUAAGGUGAGACUAAGCGGAGCAUCUGACAGGGCGACCGUGGACGUCCUCCCACCCGGCAAGAACGAAAUGGCGGCCCCGGGCCUCUCCUCCUGCUCCAGCUCCACGAGCGCGACAAAGGCAAGGCUCGCAGGGCGCCUGUCCUGACCAGAGCCCAAGUGCUCGGCCUCUGUGUGCCACGGCCCGUUUCUGUCGCAGCCUCUCACGGCCGGCCUCCAGAGCAUCCAACAGGAGCACCUGCAUUUACAAAGUCUGUCCCCCAAGAGGAAGUCUCUGUGUGUAACCAGGGAUGCACUGUUUGGAGUGGUUGCAAUCAUGCAGCGAACAGGGAGGACAUAUCAACCUGCAUUUGUUCCCACAAAAGGGGUCUGAGGCCCCAGGCUCAAAACCAUCCCCCCACGUGAGGUGUGUCCUUGGUCCCAGAGCCAUGACGAUGCAUCCAGUAGCAGCUGUGGGAAUUUAUGCUACAUUUCACCGCGUACUAAUCCAAACCUGGCCUCAGUUUUCCGAUGGAAAGAAACUUUCAAAUGAACAAAGAAUUGAUACAGACAUUGAAAAGUUUAAUAUUUGACUCAGAAAUUCUCAGACAUCUUACAAACACCCAGGAACUUCCCAUGGAUGUUAAGUUACAAGUGAUGUUCUUUUAUUGAAAGAACUUUCUUUUCUCUUCUUUCCUUGACCAGGUCUGUUCAAAAUAUGGAUUGCAAGCAAGUUUCAGUAAAAAUCAAAGCUUGCAAUUAAUGUUUAAAUAGGUGUAAUUAUCAGUGAAAUUAGGAAAUAGCCAUCUUCUGUUCAUUUGCUCACUAUGCAGGUCUCAUGCUGAGAGAUUCCCAAUGCUACACUGGUGGUAUUUACUGAGUGUUGUUUAGAAUCACAAAAUGGUCUUUUAUUUUACAACGAAGCUGCAUCUUAACAAGCAGAGAAGCUCAGAAGGAAAUGCAGAGGUAUAAAUAAAGGAGAGGUAUACUCAAUGGAACUGAGGAAUAUACAGAUUAAUUUUUCUUAUUAUUUUGGCUCUAAAUGGAAAUUUUUUAUGUCAAAUAUAUACAGCCGGAUUUUCAUAAAUUUCUCCAAAAAACAACUUGAGAAAACUGUUCUUUUACUUUUGUCUGAACACAGACAAUCUAUUGCCAUACACAUAGUGCAUGUGAACGUAAGUGUUUCCGGAGACUGCGUAACUAUGAAUUGUGUGCAAAGGGGCUCGCUCGUGUCACGUGUCUGCAUGCACAAUUUUCAGUACCCUAUCCUAGCGCCUGGUAACACAGAGUACAAUUUUAUAGUUUUAUUCAGUGGACUUAAAGUCAAGAAGCCAUCCCAAGAAUUAUUUACAAUUCAGUAACUGAAUGAUUAUCUGAUCACGAUACAUAGUAGAGCUAUUCUUACAUCAUGAAUGCUGACACUGUGCAUCUGGGUGGUAACCUGGUAACUUUUAUAAAUCUGAGGUUUACAUCGGCAUAUACGAAAGGAACCAAAGCCUGAAGAGUGUGGUGACAGCGGGGUUUCUACCACAGAUGAUUUGUAGUUUCAUAAUGGGACACAGGAGAACAAGGAACUGAGAGAUACCUGAAGAAAUGCUUUAAAAAACCGAGUGUACACAUAGCCUAUAAGGCAAAAUCUAAGUUACAAGUGUAUUCAACACCGGCAACUAUGUUACGAGAGGUAAUACUGAGUCGCAUACACGUGAGACGUCGGAGAACGGUGACCACGUACCACUUCCGGCCGAGCUGACCACACCGCGCGGUGGCAGGCGUUCCCACGUGUUCUCCCACGGAUCGGGUUUUAAAAGAAUUUCGCCUUUCUCCCUGGACUCAAAGUCCAAUCGCUAUCACCCUGAAACAAAAGCCGGAACUAUGCUUCUGUCCUUUUCCCUAGGGAGGGGAGAAACCUCAUCUGCCAGCGCUGCCGUUCCCAUGCGCCACCGCAACGGGGGCAGCUGUAAGCCUGCGUGUCUGCAGGGCCUUCACUUCACAGCCAAGCACCAAGGAUGCCUUUCUCGCGGCCUUCUCCGUCUUGAAUAAAGUAUAUAAUGGGAUUUAACUGAGUUCGUAGAAAGCCCCGGAGUUGGCCUUAAAACAUGCUCGUCCGGGUGACUGUACCAACCGACGCCAGCACCCGCGUCCACAGAAGAACGUGCCGCCCCGAGGAGCCUGUCUGGCCGGCGAGUAGGGGGUCCGCACGGAGUUAAACGGACGCGUGGCCCGUGGGUGGCGGCCGAGUUCUUAGGAGACUGUGAAAGCGGUGGCGCCGCCAGGCCCGGGCGCUCACCGGGAGGCACCGCCGGGGCGAGUCAUUUCUGACCGACGGGGCGGUCGGGAGCCGGGGGCUCCCGGGUCAGUGGCAGAGCGCUGCGCGUUCUCACAGUGCUUUGUGAUGCCCGUUUGCAGACGGCUUUGAUGUUUCUGAAUCCCUUGACGCGUCUGAUAAGUGAAGCUUAUGCAGCCCUGCAGGAAAAUUAAGAAAAUGGUCAUCCCUUCAACCACAGAGGUUGGAAGAAUUUGGUUGGGUGAGAAGCUUCAUGUUGCUCAGAAGGUGGAGGUUAUCUGGACCUUAAUCAGUACGGGGCCUAUGGCAACCACUACAAGCCACAAGAGAACACAGACUAUAAACAUUCAAAUGAUGUCAAGUUAGUAGGUAUCCUAGUUGAAAUCCGUAAUUGUUAUCCUGGGGAACAACCUCAACCAGCUCUAACCUACUCUGUCCGGGUGUCACGGUCUCUUCUUGGAAGCGGCAGGAGCUGGAGCGAACACCCCUGACACUCGGCACGCUUACACCGACAAGACAUCCACUGUGCCGCUGCUCACGGGGAGAAAGCACAGCGUGCUCAACUGAGUCUGGAAACAAGAGUCGUGGAGUCGUGGCGGACGAGACACCUGACAAACUUCACGCUUCGCACCUCCCCACUGCUCGGUCCCCCUCUCCAUGCAGGUCCCAGAUCGAACGUCACCUCCUUAGAGAGGCAACUGUCCCCUCUUACACAAAACAGCUGGACCCCUCCAUGGCCGGCUAUCCCAAUGACGUUUCUUCGUAACACAACACUACUUGAAAUAAUUUCUUUUCCUUUCUGGUGUCUUUAUUGCCUACCUUCCCCACUGGAAUGUAAGUUCUAUGAGAACAAGGACUUUGUUUUUUUCACUCCUAUGUUCCCAAUGCCUAGAGCCAUGCUUGCCCAUACUUAAUAAUUACUACAUAAACGAAUAAACUAACAGGGUGAUUCUU